rnacentral:rRNA from 1 species
GUCUAUGGCCAUACCACCCUUAACAUGCCCGAUCUUGUCUGAUCUUGGAAGCUAAGCAGGGUUGAGUCUGGUUAGUACCUGAAUGGGAGACAUUUACC